UCUGAACUUUCUUUCACUCGAGGAAAAGGAAGCUCACGAACUGGUUGUUGGUGUUCUCUCAGCAGCAUUGGUUGCUUACAGGAGCCAUGGUGAAAAAGAUUGAUCUUUGUAAGAAUAUAUCAAUCCAUCAGAAACAAGAAGGGCAAGUUUCAGGGAUGGCAACAAGUAUUUGGUCAAUGUACCAUAACAAGUUAGCAUAAGUUUGGCUUACAGUUCCUUCUUCCUGAUCAAGUUUACAGGUUUUGCAGGAUCCACUGUUGUUUCAUCUCCUAAAAAAAAUUACUGCUAAGAUACUUAAUUCAGAACUUCUUACUGAGCCAGUCACAGCAGGCAGCCUCAAAAAGACGACAGGUGAUGCCCGGAAGUUGCCUGAGAUUGUUGCCGAAGCAGGAAAGGAAGCUACAGAAACAUGCAAGAGAUUGUAAUUCUCCAUUAUUGGCUGCUGUUUCUUGAACCUCCACGAUGUGAUCCAUCUGCAACCUUCGCCCUCUUGUUCCUUCAUCACUAGAUCGUUAAUUUGCGAUAUGCUGACCGAACGAACUAUGAAUCUGAAGCUUGGGUAUGUUCUGAGGCAAUGAAGCUAUCAGCAUCUCUAAGCUGGUCGGUCGUGGGAAUUUUGGGAGGACUGUCAAGCCUCUACAUUAGUCCAGCUCUAGUGUCUGCAACGAAGGCAGACAUGGAAUGGUCCUCAGCUCGUCGCAACCUCCGAUUGUAAGUUGACGAAGGCAAGGGAAUCCACCGUCCUCCACAUCAGUCCACUUCUCCAGCUCAGGCAUUGUCCGGAGUUCCAGUGUCUCCAGGCAUGGAAAUGCCUCGAGUGCCAUACUGUUACUGCAACUCGCCAGCUCUCUUCUUGCGCUCCAAUGGAUCAUCUUCCGUGUUCUGAUCCUGCGCAGUGGCUUCUUCUUCACUGGAAUCGCCACAGUCGGCCUUGCUGUAAUCAAUGGAACUGCUAAACCAUUCUAGAGUCAGCUUCUCCAGGUGCGCUUUGCUCACCGAGUUGGCUGCCUUGGCAUCAUCAACACAAACAACAUGCUUCAGUCCUAAUAUACGGAGCUCACCUCUGAGGUUUGCGAGGUUCCCCAGCUCUCUAAUCACAUAAUGUUCUCUGUCUUUGCCGACGUAGAACGGCGACAACGUUUGGAGACUGCUCAGUCUCCCAAUGUUCUCUGACGCGAGCCUCGGCCAGAUUGUACACUAACCAUCACGUGGAGACUGUUGGAGACCAAGGGAGGCUGUGGGCCCAAAUAGUCCAAGAUUUGUGGGCCCAAACAAGGGUUUACUUCGCCUUGAGCGCGAUUCGAACCGCUGUCGCGCCUGUUUCCAUUCGCGGCCUGUUCACCUCUUUCGUCUCGAUCUGUCGAUCCAUCGCCAAAACCCUAGCUAUGACCCUCCGAUCGAAGCCCGAGAUCCUUCUCCCAGAUCGAGCGGCAGUCGCAAACCAUGGGUUCCGAUACUGAUAUGAGGGACGGUGGGUUCGAGUACUCCGACGACGAGCCGGAGGAACAGCAUGUCGAUAUUGAGAACUAGUUCUACGAUUCCGAAGGCGAUCUGGUCUGAUCUUUCGUUUACCAUUUUGCAACGGAACUGCAAAUUAUUCACAUUGUUAUUCUAUAUACUGGUUGGUGUAAAGUUUUCUGUUGUCAUAGAACAGUAGUCACUGAUUCUACACCGAACUGUGGAUACCUCACAUUAUCAUCCCUCACAUUGUUACUUACUUUAAAUGUUACUUAUUUUUUUAUUUCACAUUGUUAUUUACCUUUAAUUGUGGAAUCACUUGCUGAUUUUGCUGAGAUUAGUGUGUAUGGAACCUGAGAAAUCUGAGUGGUGUAACCUUCUCUACUUUCGGAUGACUGCCCUAUAAUAGAAAUAUGCCAUUAGUUUGCUCUUGUAUACGUAUGAAACAUUGGUCAUUUUUAUUGUUUCCUCGAUGAGACAGCAAAGGAGCAUCCACCUAUAAGUAAUUGUAUGACAGCAUUUUUCUCUGUUCAAUAUAUAUAUAGAACACAUGAGGUUACUAGUAAUUGAUAAUUCAAUGUCACAUGUCAUCUCAAUUGUAAAUUGAUGCAUAGAUGCUCUGCAUUAAACCCAUGGCACAGGUUCACAUUUCAUUUUAAGGAAUUUAUAAGAGAUUCAUAAGAAAUAUUUAAAUUGGUUUGGUUACGAGAAACAUAUUUAUUCUAAGAUUUCAAGAAGCAUAUUUGUCCAUCAUCUUUGUUUUCAGAAACAACUUAACACAAAACCAGGGUUGAAUUAUCAUCUUAGUUACCAUUUCCAAAAGAUUUUAUUGCAUUUUUUUGUUUGUAAGAUUUAGAAAAAUGUUGAUAUAUAAUCUGUGUUUGCUAAAGUUAAAAUGAUGAAAGUUGGACGAGUUCUUCGAAUUGGUAGUUUUAAUUUAUUACACCAUGUGGGAAUUUAUGUGAUUUUCUGAUACUAUUUGAUAUUAAACUACUGCUUCUUGGUUGUCAUCCUCAAAAAUAAGUUGUUCUUAAGCCUUGAUUUGUUUUCUUUUUCAUCAUGGAUUAAAAGCUUAAAAACAUGCACUUAAGUUUUUUUUAUAUUGGUUGGGCAAGUAUAUAGAUAUGAUGGCAUAUCGAAAAUCAGCUCUUACUCAUAACUACUGUGAAAAAUGUAUAAAUUACAAUGUGAAUUUUAUUUCAGAUUUUAUAAAUCUGAA